CGUUUGAAUGCUCUCUGAGAGCUUAAUGCCUUUUUUAUAUUGUGGCACCCAAAACUGCACACAGCACUUGAGGGAACACAAGUUUGGCAAGAUGAGAUCGACUGAAUAUGAUGCAGUGAAAAAAGAGACUGCCAGUGCUUGAGGAAGAUCUGGCCAACCUGGCAUAGGAGAGUGGGCAGUUGCCUGAGGCUGUGAUGGGAUCAGGGUGGUUGGUACCUGCAGGAAGCACUGUGCAUGCUGGCCACGUGUUCCAUUGUACUGCUGUAGGGCCUGUGGGUGUGCAUCAAACCCACAAUGGAAAUGCUCUGGAUUAAAAAUGGAAACAACUUUUUCCAAGGCAAA